rnacentral:rRNA from 1 species
GCGGCAGGCCUAAUACAUGCAAGUCGAGGGUGAUUUUCGGUGCUUGCACUGAAAUGAAACCGGCGAACGGGUGCGUAACACGUAUGCAACCUACCUACAACUGGGGCAUAGCCCGAAGAAAUUCGGAUUAAUUCCCCAUAAUUUAACAUCUGGGCAUCCAGGAGUUAUUAAAGCUUCGGCGGUUGUGGAUGGGCAUGCGUCCCAUUAGCUAGUUGGUGAGGUAACGGCUCACCAAGGCGACGAUGGGUAGGGGGUCUGAGAGGAUGAUCCCCCACACUGGUACUGAGACACGGACCAGACUCCUACGGGAGGCAGCAGUAGGGAAUAUUGGGCGAUGGACGAAAGUCUGACCCAGCCAUGCCGCGUGCAGGAUGAAGGCCCUAUGGGUCGUAAACUGCUUUUAUACAGGAAGAAACCUCCGGACGUGUCCGGAGCUGACGGUACUGUACGAAUAAGGAUCGGCUAACUACGUGCCAGCAGCCGCGGUAAUACGUAGGAUCCAAGCGUUGUCCGGAUUUAUUGGGUUUAAAGGGUGCGUAGGCGGGAUAUUAAGUCAGUGGUGAAAGCCUGCAGCUUAACUGUAGAAUUGCCUCUGAAACUGGUAUCCUUGAGUGUGGUUGAGGUGGAUGGAAUGUAUCAUGUAGCGGUGAAAUGCUUAGAUAUGAUACAGAACACCGAUUGCGAAGGCAGUUCACUAAACCAUUACUGACGCUGAGGCACGAAAGCAUGGGGAGCGAACAGGAUUAGAUACCCUGGUAGUCCAUGCUGUAAACGUUGAACACUCGAUGUUGGCGAUACACUGUCAGCGUCCAAGCGAAAGCGUUAAGUGUUCCACCUGGGGAGUACGAUCGCAAGGUUGAAACUCAAAGGAAUUGACGGGGGCCCGCACAAGCGGUGGAGCAUGUGGAUUAAUUCGAUGAUACGCGAGGAACCUUACCAGGGCUU